AUCACUGCCUUGCCGUGGUGAAGGGGCUUGAAGAACUCAGAGAAGCUAUGAACUAUGCCGAGCAGGGCACCCAAGAUGAACAGGUCAUAGUGGAGAGUUUUGACCAAACGUGAUCCACCUGGAGGAGGAACCGGCAAGCCACUCCAGUAUCCUGCCAAGAAAACUCCAUGGACAAAGACAACAGGCAUAUAAAAGUUAUGACGCUGGAAGAUGGGCCCCUCAGGUCGGAAGGCAUCCAACAUGCUACUGGGGAAGAGCGGAGGGCAAGUACAAGUAGAUCCAGAGCUGAUGAAGCGGCUGGGCCAAAGCCGAAAGGACGCUCAGUUGCGGAUAUGCCUGGAAGUGAAAGGAAAGUCUAAUGCUGUAAAGAAAAAUAUUGCAUAGGAACCUGGAAUGUAAGAACCAUGAACCUGGGUAAGUUGGAUGUGGUCAAAAAUGAGAUGGCAAGAAUAAAUAUUGACAUCCUGGGCAUCAGUGAACUAAAAUGGACGGGAAUGGGUGAAUUCAGUUCGGAUGACCAUCAUAUCUACUACUGUGGGCAAGAAACCCGUAAAAGAAAUGGAGUGGCCCUCAUAGUCAACAAAAGAGUGGCGAAAGCUGUACUGGGAUGCAAUCUCAAAAAUGAUAGAAUGAUCUCGAUACGAAUCCAAGGCAGACCUUUUAACAUCACAGUAAUCCAAGUUUAUGCACCAACUACUGGUGCUGAAGAAACUGAAAUUGACCAAUUCUAUGAAGACUUACAACACCUUAUAGAAGUGACACCAAAGAAGGAUGUUCUUCUCAUUAUACGGGAUUGGAAUGCUAAAGUAGGGAGUCAAGAGAUAAAAGGAACAACUGGCAAGUUUGGCCUUGGAGAUCAAAACGAAGCAGGGCAAAGGCUAAUAGAGUUCUGUCAAGAGAAUAAGCUGGUCAUCACAAACACGCUUUUCCAACAACACAAGAGACGACUCUACACAUGGACAUCACCAGAUGGGCAGCAUCGAAAUCAGAUUGAUUAUAUUCUCUGCAGCCAAAGAUGGAGAGGCUCUAUACAGUCAGCAAAAACAAGACCUGGAGCUGACUGUGGCUCAGAUCAUCAGCUUCUUAUAGCAAAAUUCAAGCUUAAACUGAAGAAAGUAGGAAAAACCACUGGGUCGGUAAGAUGCAAUCUAAAUCAAAUUCCUUAUGAAUACACAGUGGAAGUGAGGAACAGGUUUAAGGAUUUAGAUUUGGUGGACAGAGUGCCUGAAGAACUAUGGAUGGAGGCUCGCAACAUUAUACAGGAAGCAGCAACGAAAACCAUCCCAAUGAAAAGGAAAUGCAAGAAAGCAAAGUGGCUGUCCAAAGAGGCCUUACAAAUAGCGGGGGAGAGAAGGCAAGCAAAAUGCGAGGGAGAUAGUGAAAGAUACAGGAAAUUGAAUGCAGAUUUCCAAAGAAUAGCAAGGAGAGACAAGAAGGCCUUCUUAAACGAGCAAUGCAAAGAAAUAGAGGAAAGCAAUAGAAUGGGAAGAACCAGAGAUGUGUUCAAGAAAAUUGGAGAUAUGAAAGGAACAUUUCGUACAAAGAUUACCAUAAUAAAGGACAAAAGUGGAAAGGACCUAACAGAAGCAGAAGACAUCAAGAAGAGGUGGCAAGAAUACACAGAGGAAUUAUACCAGAAAGAUACAGAUGUCUCAUAUACCCUUGAGAGUCUUGAGAGUCCCAUGGACUGCAAGAAGAUCAAACCUAUCCAUUCUUAAGGAAAUCAGCCCUGAGUGCUCACUGGAAGGACAGAUCGUGAAGCUGAGGCUCCAGUACUUUGGCCACCUCAUGAGAAGAGAAGACUCCCUGGAGAAGACCCAGAUGUUGGGAAAGAUGGAGGGCACAAGGAGAAGGGGGCGACAGAGGACGAGAUGGUUGGAUAGUGUUUUCGAGGUUACCAGCAUGAGUUUGACCAAACUGCGGGAGGCAGUGGAGAACAGAGGUGCCUGGCGUGCUCUGCUCCAUGGGGUCACGAAGAGUCGGACACGACUAAACGACUAAACAACAACAAACAUUGUGCUGUCAGAUGGAUUGGCUUUGUCAGGCAUGUUUGAAGGUUCUAACCCAAAUAUCAGGUCCAAAGAAUUUGUAUGUUUUCUCUUAUUGGUGGCAUGGAAUGACAUUGCUAAGCACUGGUGAAACACUCAUUAAAUGCAUGAUACAACGGAGUGUAGAACCUGGCCUUCCAGAGAAGCUGAUGAGUCCAGUAAGCAUUGCUGAAGGACAAACAGAGACCCACUCACUUACAAAGAAUGCGAUAGCUUUGUUGAAUCCACCAACACUGGGACAGAUCUGGAGGGAUUUAUUCUGCCAAUACCUAUUUUCCCCACAUUGUGGCUGGCUAAAUUGUAGGCAAUUCCACCGAAUACGAAGGGCCAGGGGUAAAAGUGCCAUGCUUUUGCAUUGGGCAGAUACACUUUUAUAAAUCUGUGACCCAAUUGUUUGCUAGUUCUCUUUAUUCUGUUGUAUUGUAUUGUAUUUGUUAAAAAAAACAUAAUAGGAAGAUCAAACAAAAAUGUGCUUCUUAGCUUAAUCUUCAUUUACGUUGUGUGUGUGUUGCUAGCCUUGGUUCCGGGCACAGAAAGUAUAGAGGACUGAUAUGUCCAUAGGGAUGGAUGAAUCCAUCAUUUUAAAUUUCUCUCUGUUUCUCUUUUUCUCACCCUUCAAUUCAGCUCUUCUCAUAUCUGCACCAGGACUUUAGUGUGGAUUUCUCCUAAUAUACAGUUUUCCCAAAGCAAUUAUCCCUAACACAAACCAUUAUUGUAUUCUGUUAUAGUCAUUUUUAUGCACAUUUUAUUCAAUAUUUUUCUGCAAUUUUGUACACAUUACUUUGCUGCAGAACUGCAUUGCAAAAUUCAGAGGAGAGUGAAUUUCAAAAGACGGCUGCAUUUGGUUCACAUAUUGUUACAAAAAGUUCAAAAUAGGUAGAUUCACUGAGGUCCAGCGCUGAGGGCCUUCUGGUGGUCCCCUCACUGUGAGAAGUGAGGUUACAGGGUACCAGGGAGAGGGCCUUCUCGGUAGUGGCACCCGCCCUGUGGAAUGCCCUCCAAUCAGAUAUCAAAGAAAUAAACAACUAUCUGACUUUUAGAAGACAUCUGAAGGUAGUCCUGUUUAGGGAAUUUUUUAAUACAGUAUUUGAUGAAUUAUUGUAUUUUAAUCUUUUGUUGGAAGCUGCCCAGAGUCAGAUUGGCAGGGUAUAAAUUAUUAUUAUUAUUAUUAUUAUUAUUAUUAUUAUUAGGAAAGAGAAUAAAAUUUCUCCCCAUCCCUGUGUACAGUUUGCCUUCCUGUCUUUGUGUAGGUUGCCUUUAUAUUUGUGGUUAAUGUAUCAUUUGACAUGCUUGCUAGGAGCAAAGCUGUUAUUUAGGAUAAGCCAAAUCAUGUUGGAGACCCUCUUCUGGGUACCCCAACUUCUUAGAUAUGUCUGAUGUAAGAGGGGGGUCUUUAUGGCCUCAGUGCCUUGUCUUCUUCUGGGGGUGGGGCUCAUCUGGCACCUAUUCUCACCACCAAGUGAAUAUCUUUUUGUCCUUCAAGGCCUUUACAAAUAUUAUUUGUACUGGUCCUCUUGCCGUUGGUAUGUUUUUAUCUGAGCUCUGUGCAAAAGGCCCCUCAAAACUCUUCACCACAUUUGUGGGCAGAGAAAUAGGGUAGGUUAGCAUUUCAAUGAAUUUAUCCAGGGGGAGGAGAAGUGUAUUAUUCAUUUAGAAAGCCCCCAUUAGUGAGGCGUUAUUUUUCCCUGUUCAUGGUUCAACAGGUAUGGUGUCUUUUAAUAUAUUCUAUGUUUUGUUUUGUUUUGUUCUGAAAAUCUUUCAUAUGGAGGAAGGCAGGCAGAGAGACCGAGAGGAUUUUGUCACUUUCUAUUCUGUUGCUGGGACUAGCUGGGUAAAACUAGCACAGAAUCAAGAAGAAAAGGUCUGGAGAAGCCCCUUGCUAGUUCCACCUCAUUCUGGCAGAGAGACCGAGAGGAUUUUGUCACUUUCUAUUCUGUUGCUGGGACUAGCUGGGUAAAACUAGCACAGAAUCAAGAAGAAAAGGUCUGGAGAAGCCCCUUGCUAGUUCCACCUCAUUCUGGUAGAAGAGCUCAAAGUUUCAAGGAAUUUUUAGGGGGGGGG